AAUUCUUAGAUAUUAGGGCUUAUGUUCUAAAUCGUGUUAUUCGUAUUUAUCGUUUUUUUUUUAAAUCGUUGCGCAGCCCUUAAGAUCGCCUUCCACAAAUGCUUAAUGGAAGCGUGUCGAGUCAUUGCUGCGCUAAAUCGAAAUUUAUUAAGGUUUUUUUAUAUCGGCAUUAGAUCUGGAAUUAAGGUCCUCUCUCGCUGACUCUUCAGAUAUAAGUGUUUAUCUCUUUUAUCUGCUAGAGAUCUUUGCGUUUGAGGAUUUUCAGAUUUUAAUUUCGUUCAUUUAGUAUCUCGUUCUAUAUAAUCGGGUAGGAUACAUUGUUUUUAUUGGUUUUGCAAUGAAACGGCGAGAAUGAUGAACCAAUUAGAUGUGCGAAUGAGGGGUAAUUUCCUCAUUAUGAGCUUAAAACUGUUUGAGGCAUAUUUAACAUCUCUGACUUCGCCGCUUUUCAAAAGUUUUGUUUGAGUUUUUAUUGUUUGUUUUGUUUUUGCUUAUUGAUAUUCUGAUUCCACCAUUUGAAAUGAAUAACCAUAUUUGCUUUGUUUUCUUGAUUUGGUUUGCUGUGUUUACGAUGAACUCUCAUUUGCUUCUCUGUAUUUAUUAUCUUUUUAUUAAGAAGAUCAACUCAUACGAAAUGGUGAUGUUUCAAAGUGAAUUACUUCCAACCUUGAUAUCCUUAAGUUACAAUUAGCGACUCAUGAACUAAUCGAAAUAUGGUUUGCCUUAGUUUGCCGUAAAGUAAGUGAUAUACUGAUAUGUAAACGAUGUUGGCAUGGACUAUCUUUCAAAGACAACACCUGAAACAGAAUUCUUGAGCUUGGACAUGGAAGUGACUAAUAAUGGAAAAUUGUUUAUAGAUAAAAAAAAUAAUACCAAAUAUGAAUUGUUAACGACAUUUCAAUUUUGUAUGUCCACUCGG